AUACUUACCUGGGUGGGGCUUUUGGGUGAUCAAAAAGGCCCAUGGCCUAGGCUAAUGGCGUCCAUUGCACUCAGGAGGAGUGUUGGCCUAGCAUCUCCUCAAGUAGGAGAGUGCACGUCGUAAUUUGUGGAAGAGGGGGUACGCGUUCGCGCGGCCCCUG